rnacentral:rRNA from 1 species
UACGUAGGGAGCAAGCGUUGUCCGGAAUCAUUGGGCGUAAAGCGCGCGUAGGCGGCCUCGUAAGUCCGUUGCGAAAGUCAAAGGCUCAACCUUUGAAAGCCGAUGGAUACUGCGAGGCUAGAGUCCGGAAGAGGCGAGUGGAAUUCCUGGUGUAGCGGUGGAAUGCGCAGAUAUCAGGAGGAACACCAAUAGCGAAGGCAGCUCGCUGGGACGGUACUGACGCUAAGGCGCGAAAGCGUGGGGAGCGAACAGG